CACAUCAGCAAAAUCUCUCAGCUCUCCUCCCCAAACCCGCCUAGGGUUCUUGAUCAGUGAUCACCCUAACUCUUCUCAACAUCCUCUGAAAGAAUCAUGGGCAAGAACAAGAACAGGAACAAGAAGAGACCCCGCCAUGACCACCAUCCUUCACUUCCACUCCCCCGCAUCAAGAAACACCAUCUCUUCUCUCCAACACAAACACAAACACAAACACCUCCAUCGCUCCUUCCCCCAACCAGAAACCAACCACAGCUCUCUACCAAGCGCCCAGCCUUCGCCUCAUACCUCGACGCCCCGGACCUCCCUCCAAAAGUGAAGCUCCUCUGUGGGAUCGUCGCCACCACCGACUCCCUCUCAGUCGAGGAGGCACUCAAAGACACCGGCGUCCGCGUCACCCAAGCCGACGUCGAGCACGUCCUCAAGCUAUCCUACGCCUUCCCUGGCCCCGCCCUCAAGUUCUUUCGCUGGUCCGGUCGCCAGCUCAACGACAACCACAGCCCCUACGCCUUGAACCUCGUCGUGGACCUGUUGGGCAAGAAUUCCCUCUUCGACCCCAUGUGGAGCGCCAUUAAAUCCAUGAGCUCGGAGGGCCGCUUGCUCUCCCUGGCCACAUUUGCCUCCGUCUUCAGCAGCUAUGUCAUUGCCGGCCGCGUCCGAGAAGCGUUCCUGACGUUUGAGGUCAUGGAUCAGUACGGCGUUCCGCGCGAUAUCGUGGCGUUGAAUUCGCUUCUUAGCGCGAUUUGUAGAGACGGGGAGGCUGCGGAUGCGGUGGAGUUCUUGCGGGUUGCGAAGGAGAAGAUCAGGCCGGACGUGGAUACAUAUGCGAUCCUGUUGGAAGGUUGGGAGAAGGAAGGCAAUGCCGAUUGCGCUAGGCAGACAUUCGCGGAGAUGGUGUUUGAGAUCGGUUGGGACCCGAGCAAUGUGCCCGCUUAUGAUUCGUUAUUGAGCACUUUGAUUAAGGGCCCUGAUGGGCCUCGCGAGGCCAUGAAGUUCCUCGAUAUGAUGAAGGAUAAUCGGUGUUAUCCGGGGUUGAAGUUCUUCAAGUUUGCUCUCGACGAGUGUUCGAAGAAAGACGAUGCUCGUGGAGCUGCAUUGGUUUGGGACGCAAUGGUGGGUGAUAUUGGUUUUAGACCCGAUACCCAGAUGUAUAAUUUGGUCAUUGCCUUAUAUUGUCGAUGUAAGGGUACAGAUUUAGCGAAAAGGUUGUUGGAUGAGAUGGUUUGUUAUGGGUCAUUUCCGGAUUCGCAAACUUAUAACGUGGUGUUUCAGUACUUGAUGAAGAGCAGGAGGUUAGGGGAGGCUUCGGUGAUGUUCAAUGAGAUGAUUAAAAAUGAGUGUGUUCCUGACCAUGUUAAUUGUAGUUCAGCAGUUAGGAUUUAUAUGGAUUCUCAGGAAUAUAAUAUGGCUAUAAAAGUUUGGAAAUGCAUGAUAGAGAAUUAUGGUUCUGAUUUGGAGAAGACCGGUAAUCUGUUGGUUGCGGGGCUUCAUGAUAUGAAUAGGCUCCCAGAAGCAGUCAAGUAUGCUGAGGAUAUGAUUGGUAGAAGAAUGAAGUUGAACUCUUCCACAUUGUCAAAGCUGAAACAGAGCCUUUUCAAAGCAGGAAAGCAACUUGUGUAUGAUGAACUUUUAAGAAAGUUGAAAUAUCAGUAGGUAGGUAAUCUCCUAUAUGCAUUUUGAUAUUUAUGGCCAGGUACAUGGAAAAAAAAAAAAAAAAAACAAAACAAAAACUUGGCCAAGUGAUACGUGGAAGUUCCGUGGACCUUGUGACAUGGUUUUAUCUUUGUUUUGAUGGGAUCAUUUCACAUGGUCUUGACUUGUAAUUAGGAUCGUAUAACCUGUAACUAAAAUUGUAUAACUUGAAUUAGAAAAAUGCAAAUAGAAUUCAAUGACAUUAACUAGCUAACGACUACUUUAGAAGGCAUCAGUCUGGAUCAGUUGAGUCAGCCAUCUAACAGAUUUAUACUUUCUUCAUCAUUUGAUACAUCAAUAAUCUUCAAGGAGAAAGAAAAGACCUAAAUGAUUGGUGCCUCAAAUAGGUUAUUAGGACUUAUCCUUGUGGCAAUUAGGUAUUAGAAACCACCGUUCGUAUAAAUUCCAAAACUGGCGAUGUGCUGCUUUUCUUCAUAUGCUCGAAUGCAGUAUUCAGUUGUCUUUGUCUUGUAAAGGUUGUUGGUUCCAUAAAACCCGUUUCUUGGUUCAUGAAAUUGCAGAUAAGCAUUUAAUUUUCUCUGUGCCUUUUAAAUCAAUUUCAAUCUCUCUCAGAUGAUCCUUUAAUUGUAUCAUGCUGGUCUAGUAAUGGUGCUGGUCUAGUAAUGGUCACUAGUAAAGAUCCCCUUUCCCCCACCUCUUCAAAAGUUAUGUUGAGGUUGAGGUUGAGGUAUCUUCCUCAACUGCUCUAAAGGUUCUGCAAACACAUUUUUAUAAAGGUAAUGCCGAAUUUUGUGGAAUCCAGAGAACUUUCCUAGUUUCUGGCAACUUUUAGGAAGGAAGCAGUUUUCAAAUCCUUUCCAUGGCUCUCUUUGUUGGACUGCGACCAUUGUCUGUAAGGGGGAAAGGGUAACGUUUCAAUCGAUUGUGUCAUUAAAGAAGCUGGAUUCUUGGUUUUGGCUCCUCUCUGGUGACUUCUUGGCUGUAUGUUCCUGUCACCCUGAGAAUGUUGCUAUUUCUGCUGUGCAUCAGUUACAAAAAAGCUUUGAGAACCACCAUGUGGCAAGCAUUUUGCGGUAGCUCAGGUGAACCACAAAACUGUCUGAUUUGUUGAUUUAGCUGUUUGAUUCAAAUUGAAUUCUAAGACGAUGGGUCAGUUUGGAGAUAUUGUGUAUGAGAGAGUAUUUAGAUCACGAGGUCAACUAUAUAUUAUCCAAUCAAAACUGAUUAUUUUCUGCACUUGGUCCUGCAACAGUGCAACUUAUUUGAUGGUGGAUAUUUAUCUAAAAAUUCAGUUGGAAAUGGUCACAAAUUACAAGAUUUUAGUGCUUAUUGUCAGAGUGAAGUUUCUAAUAAUGAGGCAUAUUACAUUUUCUUGCAAGUUUAUCUGUUGGAAUUGGAAAGUUAAUGCAUAGGAUUUCUUCCCAAUUAUUGCUUGGUUUUUACUAAUCCAGUGGAAAAUCUAUCUUGUAAGGUGCAAUUUGGUGAUUCAUAAAAAAAAAUAAGCUACAAGUUGGCGCUGAGUGUUUUUCACCGCUGGAAGUGUAUAUAGAACUAUUGGUUGCAUCAAUUGACGCUAAUAUUGCAUUGUUUAGAUCUCCAAGGAACUAAAUACCAUAGCCACAGAUGGAGCCUUUACAUUGGAAUGCCUGAAUUCUAAUUUUGCAGAUGCAUGAUUAAUGAUUGAAAAAAGAUUCGGAGGAGAACAAGGAAUUUUUAUGAUUGCCAAACAUCUCUUAGAAAUUUUGGUUAUCUGUCUCUGUAGACAUUGUAUUAAAGUAGAAAUUGUGUUUAUCCACAUUGGCUACCCUUUUCUUUUUCAUGUAUAUGAGCUUGUGCAUUUGUUUGACAUAGAAAAGAAUACUCUUCAGGUUGCCGCUUCUUGUUUAUUCGUCUUUUACCUGAAUAUAACAGGUUUUAUUAUUAAGUGCAUUAAAGGCAGUGUUCUUUUGAAUAUUUUUUGCUGUUGGUGGUGAGGAAUGCACAUGUUUAUACUUGUCAUUUUCUCAUAUUAAUCUAUGGAUCCUUUUUAUUGAGAAUCUACCAUUCAUCAAUUAUAAUUUUUAACACAUUUCCAUUCUCCUUGACCAUCAUCUUAGGAAUGUUGUAAUUUGAUUGCUGGGUUUUAUGUUCAUAAUCUACAUGGAUAUAUUUCGCUUGUAAAACUGGAAGGAUCUGAUUAAAAUGCAUACUUCUUUCUUUCUGUCUCAUGUUAUGGCUUAUCUCCAAUAUCAUGUGGUUCUUCUCGUUGCUUGUAAAUGCAUGUUCUAGAUACUUUAUUUGUUAUUUCCUGUCAAGUGUUUCACUAUCUAGGUUGCAGACAUUAGAACAAAAUAUAUAUAUUAGCAUGUCAUUGUUAACUUGCAUUUAAUUUAGUGUUUCAUGCUUCCAUUUUUCGAAUUUUUUUUUUUCUUCCAGAUUUCUAAGCGAUUGCGCAUCUUUUAAUGGCCUAUUCUUGAUUAAGGCUUUCUCUUCUUCUUCCAGAUUGAACUUGAUAUUUAUUUGUUUGAUGCACCAGAACAUUAUAACAUAAUAGAUUACUAUAAAAUGAUCAUAUGGAUCUCUUUAUAUUACUUAAAACUGUUUCUUGUGUAGAUUUAAUUUAUAUAUUUUUGAAUUUCGGAAGAUAGAAGUCAGCUUUGAAGCUUGAAGCACUUCAAUAUCUGACAGACUAUUUUAGUGAAAUGAAUCCGUACUUUUACUCCAUAAAAUGUUUUAUACACUAGAGUUUCUGACUAUUGAACACUCAUUAUGUUAAUUACGAUUCAUGAUAUAGAAUGUUAACAUAUGUACACAAUAAUAUAUAUAGAUGUGAAUACACAUACACACAUAUAUGUUUGUAUGCAUGCAUACCAAUGAGCUAGCUCAAAUGGUAGCUCCUCCCUUUGUAAUGAGGUGGAAGGUGAGGUUGUGGGUUCAAGUCCCACAGGGUGCCCGUGUAACUUAUCAAUAAAAAAAGGGGUAAGCGUAUAUGCAUAGAUAUGGAGUUGUAGACGAAUAAAGCCGAUUGUGAACAGGCUUGAACUUAGUUCAGAUAUACUCGACUCGGACUUGGUUCAUUUAAUAAAUGAGUCAUCUGUGGAUACAAAAUUAGACUUGAUUAUUAAACGAGAUAUACGCGUAUAAACUCGGCUUGACUCGGUUAAUGCUUGUGACCAUAGUUCGUACGAGCUCAGCUCAACUUGUUAUUAGGUUAACAUGCUUACAUUAUAACAUAAAUGAUAUAUUAUAUAUACUUAGUAGUAUCUAAAUAUUUAACUAUGGUAUAGUGUAUUACAAUCUUAUAUGUUGUUGCUGUUUUGUUCUUUUUUCCAGGUUCAUGAAUUGGCUUUCUUUUCUUUUGGUUUGUUGUUGCUGUUUUGCUCUUUGUUGUCUUUCUCUCUCUCUCGCCCGUGUUUGGGUGAGUGUGGGGAGCAAAACUUACUCACCUAAUAGACUUAAGCAUAAAUUCCAGGUUACAUUGUUUAAGGCUUAGAUCUUCCUUCCCAGUUGCCUGAAUGAAGUAUAUGUCCCCUUUUGUAGGUGAAUCCUCACUUCUUUUUGCAACCAGCAAUGUGAUACCUCAACUCCUCUUAGAUAUCCUGGAAAAAUGAAUGUUCUCUCUGUCUUUUCAAACACCUAAUAAAUCAUGCUUGUCCAGGCUAGGCUAAUGACACAUGCAUGACCUGGUUUCCAGGUUCUGAAAGUGCAGUUGUUCUCAAAAGACAGGUGACCCUAUGGACAUUGGAUUUCAGAGUAUCACGAGAAGGGUUCCAGACACUGUUGCUGAUCAAAAGGUUCUGGUUGAGUUUGCCAGGAAUCAUCAUAAGGUUCUGGUUGAGUUUGCCAGGAUUGAUUCCUGGAUGACCAGGAGACGAUCCUAUGUGAUUUGGUUUUGUACUACCCACAUUUUUUUUUUUUCUGAGCCGUUUUAUGCUACCCGAACCUGUUAAUUUUUUCUGUACAAGUCUAGUGGAGUUUGUCUUAAUUUUCUGAAAGGGUCAUCAAGAUAUUGAGGAGAAAUGAGAGGUUGUUUAUGGUAAAAUGAUAGAGCAAUGUAAUGAAACUGGUCAUGACUCAUGAAGACCCCCUGGUGAGGUAACUAAAGUAUAAAACUCUUCGUAUCUGAAAAAGAAAUUUCAUGCUUUUAGUACUGGAGGAAGAUCCUGAAGUUAGAAGGUAAAGCUAAAUGGUUUGUGAAGUACAUAAUUUGAGAUGAACAGUGAACCUCUACAAAAAUUGCAAUUUCUCCCGUCUCCCUUGGAAAGCAAACAUUGUCAACUUUCUAGUUGAAGGACAAUGGCUUUAGCUUAAGUUAUUUUCUCCUCAUCUCCUUUCCCAGCUGUUUUGAGCCUGGAUCUGGGGAAAGCAGGUUAGGUCAUUGACCCCCUUAUCUGGCUCUUGUGAUACCCGCUACAUAUGUCAUUCAUCAUAGGUACAAUAUAAAUAUGUUGAAUUGACAAUAUGGGCAAAAUUCUUAUAGAACUUUGACUAUAUGCUUUUGCUAUCAAUGCUAUAGAGGAGGAAGAAUUUAGGAUUAUGUUGAGUAAUGAACAGAAUUGACCUCGGUUUAUUUUUAAGAAAGUGAUAUAGCAAUGAAAAAUAUUAGACCUUCUGUUUCAA